CUCAAAGUGACCUUACACAAAGUAGUAAUAAAAUUUAUACUAUGUUCANAUAUUCUGUACUGUUUAGUAAGUGGGUCAUAUAUACUAUUUUUCAUGUUUUUAGUGCANAAACCUUCCUACUUUANAAGUGCUUAAGUUUGAAAUCUAAUGUUA
rnacentral:misc_RNA from 1 species